UUUCUUUCCUUUCUACUUUUAAUUUACCCAUAAGGAUAGGUAAGCCCAACACUCAGCCACUCUUCCUUUUGUUGGCCUUAGUGUAGAAUUAACUGGCUUGACUAUCCUACUUUUCUUUAAGCGAUAAUCAUUUACUAUAUCUAGGUCAAAUGUAACCCAGGAAAAUCACACAUUCUAGGGAUUCAAAAUAAAAGUCAAAUCUCUACUCUUAUAAAACGUCCAUCUUACUGAGAUGAUAUAUUUCCUCAAUAAAAGCCUUUAAUCAAGUAAUAUAUAAUAAUGCCUAAGAGAAGUAUGCCGGUUGUAAAUUAUCAGGUGAAGUAGAAGCAUCAGAAAGGUUCCAGAGAGAAAGAGCUCUUGUUGAUGCUCCAAUAGUGAGUAGGAGGAGUCCAGAAGGUAGGCAGGGCCUGAGGGGACGCAGGCUUUCAAAGGUUGUCCAGUAAGCCAGCAGGUUGUAUGUCUGAAAAAUGGCGAGCAACCCCUGUGAAAAAGACCUUCAACCCCCAAAGGAUUCAUGACCCACAGGUUGAGAACCACUGAUCUACACACCAUGAGAGGUGUGUCUUCACCAGCUAUAUACUGAGAAAUCCCAAAAAGCACCUCAGUAAUCCCCACUGUAGCUCUUAGUGAUAUUAUUUUCAUUUAAUAUAUGAGAAAUUCCAGGUUUAAAUGGGUUAGGCAUGCUCAGGCUCUCACAGCUAGUAUGGGGCAAAGUUAAAUUUAUAUAAAGUUUAUAUUUCCCUAAACCCAGUAUUCUUCCCCCAGGACAAGCCUUCUCCCUAGGUAAGAGAAUCAAGUAACGGAGUGUAGGGGCUCCUCCUGAGGUGGCAGUUCUGUGGCAAACUGCAGCAGAUGAUAUCAAAUGCAUUAUGAGGAUGCACUGAGAGGACAAUACCAACAGAGAGCCUUGGGAAGCAGAGGAACUACCUUCUCACUUGUUCACCAACCAGGCAGGAAUCCAAGCUCUUGUGGAGGGUGAUGGGCCGCAACUGACCUGUUCUUGGUUUUGUUGUUUUUUUGGAAUUGGAUUCAGUAUUAUUUUUUCUUGUUCUUAAGGCAUCUACCCAGUUUGUUUUCACACUUGAAAUACCAAAUAUAGUUCCAAGACACUUGCCGCGAGAGUCCCCUGUGGCCUCCCCCUUUCUUCUGUCUCCACUAGGGUGCCCUGUUUUCUUUCCACAUCAAACACUUAUCAUGUGAAGCUUGAAACCAAAUCUAUUGGCAGACAAUUUCUGAAGCUGGAAGAGUGUUUAUCUCUCCCGCAGCUGUCAUUAGCGUGGUAUUUCAUCUUUUGCCUGGAUCCAUGCUCUGGUAUACAACAGCAUUGAAAAAGACAUUACCCUCUUUGCUCACACGGAGGGUGGAUUAACUGAAAUUCGUGUUCUAAAUAGCAUUGCAAUAUGGAGUUUUAACAUUCUUGGUAUUGUUUAGCAAAAAUCAUAGGAAGCAAUCAGAGGGAGAACUCAGAAAUCCACCUUGCCCAUCACGGCAGAUGUGCUUGUGUUUUGAAAAUCCACUAUUAUGGCUUGAAUAGGAAUUAUCUGCAAAAGCCUCCUGGUGGAGUGGUCAGUCCUCCAGGUUUCCAGAGGUCCUAGAAAUGAUAGGAAAUUGGGCAAUUUGGUGAAAGUAGUUCAUUGGACAUGUGUCCUUCUGUUGUAUCAAGCUCCUUUUGAUCUCUCCCUCACCACUCCCUGUUCACUAUGAGGCAUGUACCCUCUGUCUGUAAGUCAGGAAAAAAAUAAAUCAUUAUGAAUUGAAUAGAAGUUAAUCAGUAUAUACUAAGUUACGCAAUAAGUGAUACAAUCUUGUACUAUGUUGUACAAUAGAAUGACUAUGAACAAUAAUAACGAUGUCUUGUAUAUAUUUUGAAAAGCUAGAAAAAAAAGAUUUUUGUGUUUGUUAUAUUUAAAAAUGUCAUACAAUUUAUUUUGAUAGCAUUAUGUCCCCUCCCCCAACUCCUCCCAGACCUUCUCCACCUCCCUCCCCAUUCAACUUCAUUCUCCCCUCAAAAAAAUGAAUAUUAAAACAAGUAAGUAAUAG